GUCGCCUCCUAAAAGGUAACGGAGGCGCUCAAAGGUUCCCUCAGAAUGGUUGGAAAUCAUUCAUAGAGUGUAAAGGCAUAAGGGAGCUUGACUGCGAGACCUACAAGUCGAGCAGGGUCGAAAGACGGACUUAGUGAUCCGGUGGUUCCGCAUGGAAGGGCCAUCGCUCAACGGAUAAAAGCUACCCCGGGGAUAACAGGCUUAUCUCCCCCAAGAGUUCACAUCGACGGGGAGGUUUGGCACCUCGAUGUCGGCUCAUCGCAUCCUGGGGCUGUAGUCGGUCCCAAGGGUUGGGCUGUUCGCCCAUUAAAGCGGUACGCGAGCUGGGUUCAGAACGUCGUGAGACAGUUCGGUCCCUAUCCGUCGUGGGCGUAGGAAAUUUGAGAGGAGCUGUCCUUAGUACGAGAGGACCGGGAUGGACAUACCUCUGGUGUACCAGUUGUCGUGCCAACGGCAUAGCUGGGUAGCUAUGUGUGGACGGGAUAAGUGCUGAAAGCAUCUAAGCAUGAAGCCCCCCUCAAGAUGAGAUUUCCCAACUUCGGUUAUAAGAUCCCUCAAAGAUGAUGAGGUUAAUAGGUUCGAGGUGGAAG
rnacentral:rRNA from 1 species